UAGGGAAUCUUCGGCAAUGGACGGAAGUCUGACUGAGCAACGCCGCGUGAGUGAAGAAGGUUUUCGGAUCGUAAAGCUCUGUUGUUAGAGAAGAACGUUGGUAGGAGUGGAAAAUCUACCAAGUGACGGUAACUAACCAGAAAGGGACGGCUAACUACGUGCCAGCAGCCGCGGUAAUACGUAGGUCCCGAGCGUUGUCCGGAUUUAUUGGGCGUAAAGCGAGCGCAGGCGGUUCGUUAAGUCUGAAGUUAAAGGCAGUGGCUUAACCAUUGUACGCUUUGGAAACUGGAGGAAUUGAGUGAGGAAGGGGGGAGUGGAAUUCCAUGGGUAGCGGUGAAAUGCGUAGAUAUAUGGAGGAACACCGGUGGCGAAAGCGGCUCUCUGGUAUGUAACUGACGCUGAGGCUCGAAAGCGUGGGGAGCAAACAGG
rnacentral:rRNA from 1 species